GAUGAACGCUGGCGGCGUGCCUAAUACAUGCAAGUCGAGCGAACAGAUGAGGAGCUUGCUCCUCUGACGUUAGCGGCGGACGUGUGAAUAACACGUGGAUAACCUCCCUAUAAGACUGGUAUCACUUCGGGAAACCGGAGCUAAUACCGGAUAAUAUAUUGAACCACAUGGUUCAAUAGUGAAAUACGGUUUUGCUGUCACUUAUAGAUGGAUCCGCGCCGCAUUAGCUAGUUGGUAAGGUAACGGCUUACCAAGGCAACGAUGCGUAGCCGACCUGAGAGGGUGAUCGGCCACACUGGAACGGGAACACGGUCCAGACUCCUACGGGAGGCAGCAGUAGGGAAUCUUCCGCAAUGGGCGAAAUCCUGACGGAGCAACGCCGCGUGAGUGAUGAAGGUCUUCGGAGCGUAAAACUCUGUUAUUAGGGAAGAACAAAUGUGUAAGUAACUAUGCACGUCUUGACGGUACCUAAUCAGAAAGCCACGGCUAACUACGUG
rnacentral:rRNA from 1 species